ACACUCCACUUCCAUUUCCAUUAGAUCUGAACACUGAUCAUGAUGGUCAUAAAAGAAGGAAUAGUAAUACUGAAGCUGACCUCACAGGGCUCAUAGUCUGCCAUAGUAAAACAUGAGCUAGUUUCAAACAGGG